UCCCUGGUGCCUUGAGGUGAGCAGGCUCACUGCACGCACCACUCCUGGUUGCCACACAAAAAUGUGACUGCCAAAUUUGCCCAAGCAUCGUCCCACAACCUCAAAGCCCCCACUACCGGAAUAAAAAAAUUCACAACAGUCAAGUCCCAUGUGAGUCUUUCAAAUGUGACUGCCAAAUUUGCCCAAGCAUCAUCCCGCAACCUCAAAGCCCCCGCUACCGGAAUAAAAAAAAUUCACAACAGUCAAGUCCCGUGUGAGUCUUUUCUCCCUCCAGUCCUGAGGAUAAACCCCAGCACACCACCUGCCUUGUAAAUAUAACCCAUAUCCUAGAGAUACUACAGCACCUGUCUGCCCCUGAAACUGUGCCCCUAAACACAACUGAGCCCUCUAGAAGGAGGCACUGUCAAAACUCUCUAAAGAUUGCAGCGACCCCCACAGAACCUCCUUCAUCCCUGUGAUGAUGCAGCUGAGAGAGGCUAUAUGACCUCACAAAGCCACCAGAGGAUUCCAUUCCCUGAUGCCACCACCUUACACAUACAAUUAAGAUGGCCCACCACUUCCUGUGGUCCUUUCAACACUACUUUCCCCCUAGGUCAGAGAUCUCACUGCACUUAAGAUCUUCUGGUGUCUCAUUGGGCAGUAAACUGGUCACCAACAAACAGAGAUAUCAGCACUUCAUACAUGGCCCCUCCCCUGCUACGGGAGCUAAAGCCAAGUGGACAAAUUUAUUUCUGCUCUUUGCCAUGGGAAGGUCGCCAAGAGUAGAGAGAAUGGGCAGUCCUCAAGGAUGACUUUUAAAUAUCAUCCAGAACACAGCUAUUUCCAGGGAUGAGCAAAGCAUGACUGCAGUGACAUUAAGACAGGGUUACCAGAUGUCCAAGACCAACCUGCAGUGGAAAGGAAUUGACAGUCAAGCCCUGGGCGUCCAGGGCAACCAUCAUCUCCAGAGGUAUUAUUCCAGGAGUAAAAGGCAAAUAGUAUAAAAAACCACGUCGCAGUUGGAAAUAGUAAUGUGCUAAUGCUGUCUCUUCUGGGAUGUCAUCCUGUCUCCUCUUCUUGUCAAGGCUAAUGUAUAGAGAAGGAGAGAAAGAAGAUGUGAAUGUCCUGUCCUUCCCUGCUACUUGCCUCGCUCUUUCUAUGACCUUAAGAGAUGCAGCAGUUGUCUUGUUAAAGGGCUGCCUAGCACAUUAUGUAGAAGUGGUGACAGUGGAUUAUUAUUCUUUGUAAAGUGGCCGCAGCAAUCAGCCGUCGUACCUGAAAUAAUAUAAAAGGCAGAGACCUUGCUAAGAGAUCAGGCGAGGAGAGGAGAAUGUAUAGACAUAGCAGAUGAUAUAAAAAUCCUCCUCCUCUUGCCUUAUUUAUUGAUAGUUUGUUUUUAAUGUCCACUAGCUUUUCAUGCGGGACGUGGUGGCGCUGUGUGGGAUGUGGUGGCGCUGUGGGCUAAACCGCAGAAGCCUGUGCUGCAGGGUCAGAAGACCAAGCAGUCGUAAGAUCGAAUCCAUGUGACGGAGUGAGCGCCCAUUGCUUGUCCCAGCUCCCGCCAACCUAGCGGUUCAAAAGCAUGCAAAUGCGAGUAGAUCAAUAGGUACCAUCUCGGUGGGAAGGUAACAGUGUUCCGUGUCUAAGUCGCACUGGCC
ensembl:lncRNA